rnacentral:sRNA from 1 species
AGGUUCGACCGAGCGAAGCGAGAGAACGUUGCGUCAGCAACGGCCCGCAG